ACGGAGGGUGCAAGCGUUAAUCGGAAUUACUGGGCGUAAAGCGCACGCAGGCGGUUUGUUAAGUCAGAUGUGAAAUCCCCGGGCUCAACCUGGGAACUGCAGCGGGUACUGGCAAGCUUGAGUGUAGUAGGGGGGGGUGGAAUUCCAGGUGUAGCGGUGGAAUGCGGAGAUAUCAGGAGGAACACCGAUGGCGAAGGCAGGCCCCUGGACUGUGACUGACGCUGAGGUGCGAAAGCGUGGGGAGCAAACAG
rnacentral:rRNA from 1 species